rnacentral:rRNA from 1 species
GAUGAACGCUGGCGGCGUGCCUAAUACAUGCAAGUCGAGCGAACAGACGAGGAGCUUGCUCCUCUGACGUUAGCGGCGGACGGGUGAGUAACACGUGGAUCACCUCCCUAUAAGACUGGUAUCACUUCGGAACACCGGCGCUAAUACCGGAUAAUAUCUUGAACCGCGUGGUUCAAUAGUGAAAUACGGUUUUGCUGUAACUUAUAGAUGGAUCUGCGCCGCAUUGGCUGGUUGGUAAGGUAACGGGUUACUAAGGCAAGGAUGCGUAUCCGAGCUCAGAGGCGGGUCGCCCACCCUGGAACUGAGCCACGGUCCAUACGCCUACGGGAGGCAGCAGUAGGGAAUCUGACGCAAUGGGCGAAAGCAUUACGGAGCAACGCCGCGUGUGUGAUAAAGGCCCUCGGUGCGUAAAGCUCUGUUAUUAGUUAAGAACAAAUGUGGAAGUAACCAAGCACGUCGUGACGGUACCUGAUCAAAAAGCAACGGCUAACUACGUG